rfam:Echinostoma caproni strain Egypt genome assembly, scaffold: ECPE_contig0003267
GGCCUUGUAGCUAAUCUGGUAGGGCGUGCACCGUACGAAAGCGUAGGCGGCGUCCAUGCGUGGGUUCAAAUCCCAUCGAGGCUA